rnacentral:piRNA from 1 species
UGCACUGCAAGGUCGCAAGGUCGCAA